ACUCGCUGGAGGUUGAAAGAGGCCGGGAGCAGAGUGGCACUUCCGUGAACGGUGCUCAGCCAGCCCGCUAGAUAGACGGUGACGGUGGAGGAGAAACUGAACAUCAGUAAGGGGCGCCCAAGAGGCUGAUGUGUGUUCAGGUAACCGGCCAGUCUGCCAGAUGUCCUCACCCAGCCCACAGCUAAAAGGACCGGUUAAGUGCGGAGGGUGCAUCUUUGGUCAGCGACUUCAGGGAAGCCAGCUUGUGAAGCAGCCCUGUGAAGAGAUGGCUAUGCCAAGAGACCAAACCCUGCCAACCACCACAUGUGUGAACUUGGAAGUGGAUCCAUGACCCUGAGCCCCCCCAAGUCAACCUUCAGAUGAGACCCCAAUCUUGACUGAGAGGUUGACUGCAACCUCCUGAGAGACUUGGAUCCAGAGGCUCCCAACUAAGCACCCCCGGAUUCCUAACACACUGAGACCGUGAGAUAAUAAAUCCACACUUGUGGUAACCUUAGAAUUCAAGAGAUGGUCAUUGUCCCAAAUCUGUGGUUUCGUACUUGGCCUGACAAUGGUGGAGGAGACUGACAUCAGCAGAUGGUGUGGGCCUGUCCAGCCCGGUUGAUUCCGCCAUCCAUGGGGGAUACUUGUCUAUGACGGAUGCUUGCCUAUGGGGGACAAGUGCCUUGCUGCCUGGCCCUCUCUCCCUCCCUGCCUUACAAACAGUGAUGGAUUCUUAUUCCAGGAGUUGUUCUAGAGCCUGUGGACCCUGGAGUUGAACUAGAACAGACAAGGUUCCUGCUCUUUAGGGACGUUCAAAUGUGAUGCCUAUUUACAUUCGAUGAUUACUACUCCUACUUUUCAAAUGAAGAUAGCUGAGACAGAGAGGUUAAGUAACUUGCCAAGAACUGCACAGCUCCAAAAUGGUGGAAGAAAAAAUCAACUCAAGGAUCCUGGGACUCUCACGCCUCAACCUUCUGAGCAACCAGAGGCUGCAUCAUUUCCCGUUUUCUAGCCCCUUUGAUAAAGUGGCAACCCCACACCCUCCUCACCUAAUUACCUUAGUCUUGGGAUUGGUCCUGACUCCUCCACGUUCCCACAGUGGAACUGCAGCUGGACUUUCACCUUUCGGAGUCCUGAAGCCUGUACCUCAUAAAUCGAGGCUCUGAUAGUCUAACAGCUUCAUUAAUAAACUCUUGCAGGAUGAGAUGUUAAAAGCACACUUCUAAUAGGUUUAUAGCUUUCUGCUUGGGGUUACCGUCUGGGGGAGGUGUUCUAUAUUUUUAAUCUCUUCUGUGCCUUUGUUCAGAUUGCUGUUCUGUAAAGGAUCUUGGCUAGCUGGAGUAGAUUCAGUUCAUUUGGCUGGGACACUUUCUUAAUAGUAUAGAGAUAACCAAUUGUAUAGUUUAUGUUGGAAUUGAGGAUUUUGCCUCCCUCAAGAAUAUUAUAAUCUUACCUUAUUGUUUGAGGCUCCAUUGCUUUUGGAUAAAUACAAAAAUGUGUUUUCUCUUCCCC
rnacentral:lncRNA from 1 species